rnacentral:lncRNA from 1 species
AAAGGGAGGUGAAAAUGUGUCAAUAAAUGGGUCAAAGGUGCAGCAACAUGUGGUACACAAGGCAUGGGAUUCCAAAUGUGAAUGAUGGAGCAUCAAUUGGUGCAUGUAAUGGAUGUAAAUGUUGUCUAAAAUCUAAUGAGUGAAGGAAACAAGAGGUAUCAAGCAAUUGAGUGUAAUAAUUAAAUGAAUUGAAGCAUGAAAUUAGAAAUUAUGUAGGGGACAAGAGUGAUCAAGCAUGGCAUGGAAUCCAAAGGGAAUUCUAUGUGGUUUGCAUGGCAAGGAAUGCAAGUUGGGGUGACAGAUUUUUGGGCUAUUUUCUUCAUCUUUUGGACCAUAAUUCUUCAUAUUCUUGGCCUCUUUAGUUCUCAAAUUCGUCCAUCCACUUGGCCCAUGCAUUUGCUAUCCAUUCCAAGCCCAAAACAUGCUCCAAAGCCCUCCAAAAUGCAUCUUCUUGCAUACUUUGUACUUAGAGUCUGAAAACACACGAAAAUGACUUUAAACAUUAAAAUAACUAAGGAAACACGACAUAAAUGCACAAGAACAAGCCAACUAAGUCGCAUAAAUACGCUCCUAUCAAAUUCCCUCACACUUAGCUUUUGCUAGUCCUCGAGCAAAACAAAGAGAUAAAACGAAACAAAGUAAAUAAAACACAACCACCUUCCAACAUUUGCCUCAGGGAUUUCCAAUGCACAUGACAUGUUAAAAAUUAUUAUCCCCACAGAUUUGAGUCAUCUUCACACUUAAGCAUGUACUUAAUCAUAGUCACCACUUACUAGUUCACAAUUAAUCAAUUAAAACAAUGUUUUUGAAGUAGUAACAUGCCUUAGAGAAUUUACUCAAUUCCUUUCAAAGUAUGCACUCAAUUUUCACUCAGAUUUUCUAACUACACACCCUAUACUAGUUAUAUGUGAGAAGAUUGAUGUAGAUAUGAAAACGAACGCUCACAUAUAUGUAUCACAAAGAAAGCAAUUUCUGGAGUUAAUAAGCAAGUUUAGAUAUGAUCUCAUGAAUGGAAUGCUACUACUUAGAUGCGAGAACCAGUGACACCAUAUGCUCAUAUCAAUUUCAAACUUCACAUAUUGAAACGCAUGACACUCAAGAUGAAGUUAAGGGUUGUAACGGGGCUUAGGGUGAUGGCUAACAAAUGAAGGAUAAGGAUAACAAUCGUUCUUAAAGCAAUAGCAAGUAAAGUAAUGAAAUUGAAACUUAGAAUUCACUUAGAUUGCAGAAAUCAGCUUUUAGACACGAAGGGAAAAUUCAAGCAAUAAUUAGGGCCGAAUUCUAUGUUUUUGGACCCUUUCUUCAACAAGCAGCACUUUCAAAACUCUUUUUUCGCAUAUUUUUCAACUCCCUUUUUUUUUUUUUUUCAACUCUUCUUUUCUUUUCAACAAGCAUAAUAACUCACACUUCCCCCACACUUGUUUUCUGCCAUACAUUAAUCAAAAGAAAUUCAAUUUGAAUCGUGUUUUACUAUGCUUCAAGAACAAGGGUAUGGAUGGUCCUAAACUAGGCUAGGUAAGGAUAAUGUGGUUUAACAAAGAAUGUAGGCUAUCAAGGCUCAAUGGGGUUAACUUAAACAUAUAACGAUAUGGGAUACAUGGCAGUUUGGCUUUGGUGGUGGUAACUACACAACUUCAUCUUGAAUAUGUUUUAUGCAAAUCAAUAGCAUGCUUUGAAUGAAAUAGGCAUGAGUUCUAGCAUUUGGAACUAAAUGAUGAAACGCCUUCUAAGUAAUAACCAAGCAAAGAAUAAUGAGAUCAUGCAACGACUUUAGAAAACAAGAAUGCACAGAUUUUAACUCUCCAAAUAAACGUUUAAGCUCAAGUCUCACAAGGUUGUAGCGUUAGUUUGAGUUCUUUCCUUCAAGCAUGUUACAAAAACUAAUUAAUUUUUUUUUUCUUUUAUGAUUACAUGUGAUUUCAUAAGUUAUAACCACAACCACGCAUAAAUAAAGAGUAAAUCAAACUUUCAUCCAUGUUUAUAACUCUCUUUAACAGUCAUGCAAUUACAAACCGAAUCCUCAUCAUUGUGUUGGAAGGUACCCUAAGACACAAAUGAGCGCACAAAAACAACUCUUUUUUUGGAUUUUCAAAAACAAUUUUUCAAAUUUUUAUGAAUUUUCGGAUUUUUUAUGUCAAAACACACUGAAACACUCCAAAACAGCUUAAAAAAUACUUAAAACAGCAAGGAACAACACUAGAAGUAAUGGGUGAUAAAUUUCUACGAAUUUCAUGCAAAACAAUGGUUACCCCCCACACUUAAAUCAAACAUUAUCUCAAUGUUUCAAGCAUAUACUCACACCAAAAACAAGCAAAUAACAAAUGACAAAUAAACAUGACAAAUAUGGCAAAGUAAAAACCAGACAGAGUAGAGUUUAAGAACGCAAAUCUGGUUUUGGAGAUAGUUGAUCUUGUUGAUUUUCCACAGCUUUGAUCUUGAACUGGAUUGGAAUUGUACGACGAAGCUUUUCUCUUUGGUGAUGUUGCAGUUCCUUAUUUGUUCUCCAAGCAGAUGUGGCAGCUUCUCUAGUUCUUCAGCUCGGACUCCUUGUGCUGGGUUAAUUGUACGAGCUGCAUUCUUCUCUGCUUGUUUCUUCUGUACGUUGUCUCCACAUGCUGCUGGUAUCAUUUUCGCUUGCCUUAUCUGUUCUUCAGGUAGAUGUGGCAGCUUCUUUGGAAGUACAUCAGCAGUGGAAGACCAGUACUCGAGAGCAAUUUCUCCAUGUCCUGCAGGUUAGAACAAAGACAAGGAAAAGGACAUGGAGAAUGCAUGAUAUGAGAUACUCUUGCUUUCAACCUUUAUGAUAUGACAUACUUUUGCUCUGGAUGGGUUGUUUGCAGGGGUAUCCCAGGGAAUGAGAAAUACAGAGUGACUUGAGAGGGUGUGUUGGAAAUACAUUCUCGGAGAUGAAGAAGUGCUGAGAAGGUGUGCCUUUGCUGUGGAAGGCGAAGGUAGAUACUUAUAGGACUUUUCUUCACAACCGGAACUAUUCCCUCACUCAUUGUCGGCAGCCGGUGGAUGGAUAAAUAGUACAAAUUUCGCGCUUUCUGACAAAGCUGCCCGUAAUUUCCGCAAAGCUGCCAGUUGCAUGUGACGAGUGACGACACGUCUGGACAAUUUGAUCUUUUGAAAUUCGGUGUUCGGCUCGUGGUUUCUGAGUAAGCCCAGCCUUUAAGAAAUGAAACGCCUCUUUUGAGAAAAGAAUCCGGCUUUUGAGAAAUGAGCCUUGACUCUUCGAUUUGCGAGAGGACGCUUCUUCGAUUUCUGAGGAGCGCCUCUUUGAUUUCUUCUUUUUAUAGAGGCGUUAAUUUUGUUCCACAACACACUUGAGCUCCCUCCUGUAAACAUUCCCUUCUUGCACUUCCAAAAUCUUAAUCAGUCCGACUCUCUUCUUUCUUCACCACCUCUGAAAAAUGUCUGGCCCUUCCGAUCGUCGUUUUGACUUGAACAUUGGUGAAGAGGCAGCUCCGCCUUCACCAAACAACAUAUGGCGCCCAUCCUUCAUAUCCCCUACCGGUCCCCUCACCGUUGGGGAUUCGGUGAUGAAAAAUGACAUGACCGCUGCGGUGGUGGCCCGGAACCUUGUCACCCCCAGAGAUAACAGACUGCUCGCUAGACGGUCUGAUGAAUUGGCGGUUAAGGAGUCUCUAGCUCUUAGCGUGCAGUGUGCGGGUUCUGUGUCCAACAUGGCCCAACGCCUAUUUGCUCGAACCCGUCAUGUUGAAUCGUUGGUGGCUGAAAUACAGAGUCUCAAAGAGGAGAUUAGAGGACUCAAGCAUGAAAAUAAACAAUUGCAUAAGCUUGCACACAGUUAUGCCACAAACAUGAAGAGGAAAAUUGACCAGCUGCAGGAAACUGAUGGUCAGAUUUUACUUGAUCACCGGAGGUUUGUGGGUUUGUUCCAACAGCAUCUGCCUUCGUCUUCUGGGGCGGCACCGCGUAGUGAAGCUCCAACUGAUCAACCUCCGAUACCUCCUCCUUCCGUGGCCCCACCGACUAUUGAGACUCCGCCAACUACUGCAACUCCGCCGACUACUACGACCUCUCCCAAGCAGCCUUUGUGAAGGCUCUUCCUCUUGUAUUAUGUUAUGUUUCUUUAUUUCCCAGAUUCCUGUUCAUUUCAUGAAGUUUAAUGUCAAAAAUCCUUUGCAUAUUUGUUAAUAUUUCAAAAUAGAAAGUCAUAACCAAAAAUAAUUAAAUAAACAACAAAAAAAAAAAUGACAAUCAUGGCAAAAUAGAAAUGCAGAAAAGUGAAGGUUUUUAGAAAUGCAAAACUGAUUGUAGAGCGAUUCAUAGAUCUUCCUUUUUUGAAUACAUGGGUUGCCUCCCAAAAAACGCUUUCUUUAACGUCUUGCAGCCGGACGAUACCUCCCGUCACAUUCCCCUAGGUUCCAUGGAAGUGAUCUUCGAAUGGAAGGUGAUACUUGAAGUGAUCCGGCAAUGGUGUAAAUUCUAGUAUGGGUGCCUGAAUCAUCAAAAUCAACAAGUUAGUGGAAAACGUAUGUAAAAUUGGAGAAGAUGACUUACUUGCUUUGUCCGACAAGAACUCAAUGACAAACACCACAUUUUUGAAAGUUUCAGGGAUAUUGGACUUGGCCAGAUUGAAUGUGAUGGUUGGGACUUGUCCCAUGUCAUAAAAUUCAACUUCUUUAGGAAUGGUUGUCUCAAGCACAUCCUCUUUGAUGCAUUCUAGACAUUCCCCAUCCACUUCUUUCUCUUGAUUCUUUGGAAAGGUUUCAAAGAUGCCUUUCUCACCCUCUUCUUCCUUGGAUUGCAUGAUCCUGCAAGGAAUAAAGACAUUUAGUGGAACGGGGUCAGGACGAAUUGAAUUUGGGCUUACCUUGGUUGUAGUGGACUGCAUAGAGGGCAUAUGGGGCUGCGGCAAGGGUGUUGGGGCUAGGGUAGGCUGCAGCAAUGGUGGUUCUUCCUUUGCCGUGGCCUUGUUAUCCUCCUCUUCUUCGAGCAGUAACUGUUCAUCCAUGUUUUGGCUUGGUUUGGACAUCUUGGGUUCAUCUCCAACCUCUAUGCCACUUUCCAAGUUGAUAGCUUCAAUAAUUUCAACAGUUGAGUCAGUUACUUCACUUUGUUCUUGCAUUUGCCCCAUGAAUUCCGCGAUCUCUCCCAUUUGAUUCUUCAAUUCGCUCAUCACUUGGGCUUGAUUUUGUGAUUCCUGCGUCAAAGAAGUUAGUACAUCAAGAAUUUGAGCACAAUCUAUUGACGAACCUGAAUUUGAUUGGAAUUGUUGCGGGGCAGGUUGUGGUGGCUGCAUAGGCGUUGUAUAGAACUCCUCAUAUGGUUGCCAAUAUUCUCCUUGUUGAGCCUCCUUGGCUUGAUUUUGUGAGCCCUGCGCCAAAGAAUUUAAUUCAUUAAGAAUUUGUUCAUAAUUUAUUGACGAACCUGAGUUUGGUUGGGUAUAUUGUGUAUGAGGUUGUGGUGGCUGAGCAGGGCUUGAAUAGAACUCAUUAUAUGGCUGCCAAUAUCCUUCGUGUUGAACUGGUUGAGGUUCCCACCACAUAGUGUUUGAAUGAUCCCUCCAAUCUGAAUUAUACGUGUUGGAAAACAAGUUGUUCAUUGAUUGAUUAUGAUCAUGAUAACUCUCCCAACUCCUUUGUGGAUGUUGAUCUGCUUGAUAUCCUUGCGUAUAGGACACAUCGAAUGUAGGGGUGCUUUGUAUUGUGGUCCUUUCGAUGUACUGUGACAAUUGAGAAGUAAGAAUUGCCAUUUGAGCUUGAAGAUUAGCAAUUGCCAUGUCUUACUUCUUUUAGUACCUGAUAUCAAAGAAAUAAAACUAAAUCAAAUAUCAUAAGUAAACAAAACAGGGUAAUUAUAAAAAAUAAAAUAAAUAAAAUAAAAAAUAAAAUAAAAUAAAAAAAAUAAAAAAUAAAAAUAAAAUAAAAUAAAAAACAAAAAAAUAAAAAAUAAUUUAAAAAUACUAAACAAUUUAAACAAGACUCAAGACAAGGGAUUAGCAACUUUGCUAAUCCCAGGCAACGGCGCCAAAAUUUGAUGUGAAAAAUAAGUUAACACACAAAAUUAAACCCUCUUUUUAUCAAAUGUAGUAAAGUAUGUAAGUAGGGAUCGUUCUAGGCCGGGGAUUAGGAGGGAUUGCUAAACACUUGAAAACUGACUUAAAAACAUAAAAACAAAAUUUAAAACACUAAACUAGACUCAAAGAAUGCAAAACUAUACUUUAAAAUACUUAAACAAACAUAAAACUCAAAACAGCAACCUAAUGACUCAAAACUGCCUAAAAACCACUUUCUGGGCAGUUUUGAGAACCUAACAAGAACUUGGACGAAGUUGGAUGAAAACUUGAAUCAAAACACUUAGAAACACAAAUCAAAACACUUUCUAACUAAUCUAAGACUUCAAAAUAAAGGGGGAUUUGUUUUGGACGAAAAUUGAAAACAAAACAGAAACUCACAAAACAGAUUGUAAAACGUUUUUGGAUGAAAAGGAUGGAUAAAAGGCUAGUUAGGAGGUUCUUCUCCACACAUGACACACUUGCAAACAAAAUGAUUUUCAGUUGUUCUUUCAAUAAAUUAUGAAACUCAACACCACAAGUUAAUUAGAUACGCUUAAAUUAACCUUCAAGUUCUCCUUAAGUUAAUGAAUUGGAUGGAAAAAUGCAUACAACAAUUCAAAGCAUUCCUCAAAGGUUCCUUACGUGAUGAGCACAAUAAAGAUACAAUCAAGAAUCAUGAAGCACAAUGAGAACUAUAAGUGUUGACGAGGCAUUCGUUACUAUGAUGAGCAUGAAACUAGUGCCAAGAAUUCAUUCAACGCGAUCGUUUUCAAGCGACCUUCACUACUUGUGAUUAUAAGAUUGUAACUAUUAGGUGAAACUCCCUCAUAAUCUAGCAUCAUAUUCAUGCAUGAAAACUAAGCGUGCACUCUCAAUCAACAUACACAAAUAAGUUAUCAAUCAAGUAGAUGAACGAAUUGAAUCCGCAACUUAUGAAAUAACAACUGAAUGUAAUCAAAUCAUAUUACAAGCAUGUACAUGGUUUCGAAUCACCCCCCAACUAAGGGGGUUUAGUUCCUCAUUCUUGCAAUACAAAGAUACAUAAAAAUUAGACAUUAAAAUCAAAGGAAAGAAAACACCUAAAAUGCUCCAACUUGGAAAGCAAGUGCAUCAAUGGAUCUCCCUUCCUCCUUGUUGCGGCAUGAAGCUUGUGGACAGAUUUUUGGGUGGAUUUAUGGUGUAGAAUGGAUGGGGAAUGAUAUGGAGGGGUUUAGGGUGAGUGUGGAAGAGUGUUUGAUGGUUGGAAGGUGGUGGAGAACUAGGCAAAGAGGGUGGAAGAAGGUGGAGUGGCUGUUAUGUUUUCUAGGCACUAGAAUGGUGUUUUUGGGGUGUUUUGCUUCCUAGGGUGUGUAUGGACGAAUUUCUGUGAUAAAAUGAUGAAUAUGGGGGAUUAUCCUUUGGCCAAGGGGUGUAAACAUGUAUUUAUAGGCCCCAAAAACCUUAGAAAAUCAGAUUAGGUUAAGGAUGAAAUGCAUGGUAAUUUGUGUGUGUGGUGUGCAAUGGUCCAAGGGUGAAAAUGAAGUGAUGAUGCAAAGUGUGAAGGGUAAAAUGGAGUGGUCUUGAAGCUAGGGAGCAUGAAUGAUUGUGUACAUUGCAUAGAGAUGGAAAGGGAGGUGAAAAUGUGUCAAUAAAUGGGUCAAAGGUGCAGCAACAUGUGGUACACAAGGCAUGGGAUUCCAAAUGUGAAUGAUGGAGCAUCAAUUGGUGCAUGUAAUGGAUGUAAAUGUUGUCUAAAAUCUAAUGAGUGAAGGAAACAAGAGGUAUCAAGCAAUUGAGUGUAAUAAUUAAAUGAAUUGAAGCAUGAAAUUAGAAAUUAUGUAGGGGACAAGAGUGAUCAAGCAUGGCAUGGAAUCCAAAGGGAAUUCUAUGUGGUUUGCAUGGCAAGGAAUGCAAGUUGGGGU